GGGUACAUGGCGUAAUGGUAACGCAUCCGUAUAUUGUGGCCUAGCGACUCCUGACUCUUAUGGAAAUCCAUCUCUCAAAGUUCAAGCAUUCGUCAAAGUUCCAGAAUCGAAGGAAUCGAGGCAGGAACGAGCAGUACGCAGGGCGGUCGUGAUACAGAAAAUUCCCAGUUCGAGUCUGGGUGUGUCCA